CCGCACGCGCGCUACACUGAUGCAUUCAACGAGUUUUWCCUUGGCCGAGAGGCCUGGGCAAUCUUUUGAACGUGCAUCGUGAUGAGGGAUGAGAUGAUUGCAAUUAUUAAUCUUGAACGAGGAAUUCCUAGUAAACGCAGAUCAUCAAUCUGCAUUGAUUACGU
rnacentral:rRNA from 1 species